rnacentral:rRNA from 1 species
GACAGAGGGGGCAAGCGUUGCUCGGAAUUACUGGGCGUAAAGGGUGCGUAGGCGGCGCGGUAAGUCGGGUGUGAAAUCUCGGGGCUUAACUCCGAAACUGCAUUCGAUACUACCGUGCUUGAGGACUGGAGAGGAGACUGGAAUUUACGGUGUAGCGGUGAAAUGCGUAGAUAUCGUAAGGAAGACCAGUGGCGAAGGCGGGUCUCUGGACAGUUCCUGACGCUGAGGCACGAAGGCCAGGGGAGCAAACGGG